AGUAUUUGUAUACAUAACGGUACGCUAAGGGAAUACCGACGCGAUUCCGACCUUGUUAAGUUGAUCAGGUUGGCCGCAAAAUGGCGGACGCCAGGCCUCGCACACAUUUAGUGACAAACUAUGUAAAUUACGGAAUCAGCUAGUCGGUACGGAUUUUGCAUACUGUUAGUACCUUAUCUCAUUAUGAAGCGUCAGAAUAUUAUGACAUCUUACUGGCUGCGUGUGAGAGCAAACCUUUUUGGUGAUGUUCCAUGUGUGAACAUGUUAAAUUGGCAAAUUUCUCAGUACCUUUAGAAUUACAAGGAAAGUUUAUAACGGAUAUCCAGGAUACUACUUACUCGCUGUGCUGACGCAGAACCGUAGUGUUGAUCCGGAAAUACACAGGCCAGAGAGUGUACCACUACGUCUUCAAGUAAAUUAUGAUGUGGAAGCGUGACAGGCGCUGACAGGGCAAUACAUGGCGUGGAGCGGGAUCUCUCUUCCACAUAUGCAAUAAUAUUAUUUUCAGACUUAGCUCUAGGCCCUCUGGAAAUAUCUUCAACAAAUCUUUUGUUUAAAAUAUCCCAUUAGGUUGACCAGUUCUUCCAUCUUUCGACAUAUGAUUCUGAGAUCACGGAUUUGCUGCAGGUUAAACAUAAUAAUGAGUUUUAUUUACCGAUUGAGUGUGGUUUCGUUGAUUUCAAGAGAUAACAUUUUUGCAGCGACGCUCAUUAAACAAUGUUUAUGGUUAAAAAACUUAGUUAUUUAUUACAAAAUGUACAAAU